rnacentral:rRNA from 1 species
UGGGGAAUAUUGCACAAUGGGGGAAACCCUGAUGCAGCGACGCCGCGUGAGCGAAGAAGGCUUUCGUGUCGUAAAGCUCUGUCCUAUGAGAAGAUAAUGACGGUAUCAUAGGAGGAAGCCCUGGCUAAAUACGUGCCAGCAGCCGCGGUAAUACGUAUGGGGCGAGCGUUGUCCGGAAUUAUUGGGCGUAAAGGGUACGUAGGUGGUUUUUUAAGUCAGGUAUCAAAGCGUGGAGCUUAACUCCAUUAAGCACUUGAAACUGAAAGACUUGAGUGAAGGAGAUGAAAGUGGAAUUCCUAGUGUAGCGGUGAAAUGCGGAGAUAUUAGGAGGAAUACCGGUGGCGAAGGCGACUUUCUGGACUUUUACUGACGCUCAGGUACGAAAGCGUAGGGAGCAAACAGG